rnacentral:rRNA from 1 species
UACAGAGGGUGCAAGCGUUGUUCGGAAUUAUUGGGCGUAAAGCGCGUGUAGGCGGCUUUGCAAGUCGGGUGUGAAAUCCCUCAGCUUAACUGAGGAAGUGCGCCCGAAACUGCCGAGCUUGAGUACCGGAGAGGGUGGCGGAAUUCCCCAAGUAGAGGUGAAAUUCGUAGAUAUGGGGAGGAACACCGGUGGCGAAGGCGGCCACCUGGACGGAUACUGACGCUGAGACGCGAAAGCGUGGGGAGCAAACGGG